rnacentral:lncRNA from 1 species
AACGCCUACGGGUCCUCCCGUCGCACCUCAAUCGCACUGCCCACGCGCGCGCCCCACGACGCCACUGUCUUCGCCAACCACCGCGCAGGCAGUGACAACUCUUUUUCCCAGCCUCACUAGUAGUGUGCCCCGGCAAAGCCGCUAGCCCCGCACAUGCUCGCGUCGUAUCACUCACCCUAUCAUCUCACUUAUAGCGCCCUCACCUAUAGUGCCCUUCCCUCCCUCCUGUCCACCAAUACCAAGCCGCCGCACCAAAUCUGGCGCUUGAAGCGACCAAACACGCACUCGACCCUGCCAAUCC